rnacentral:rRNA from 1 species
AACGAACGCUGGCGGCAUGCCUAACACAUGCAAGUCGAACGAGACCUUCGGGUCUAGUGGCGCACGGGUGCGUAACGCGUGGGAACCUGCCCUUAGGUUCGGCAUAACUCCCCGAAAGGGGUGCUAAUACCGGACAAUGUCUACGGCCCAAAGAUUUAUCGCCUUUGGAUGGGCCCGCGUUGGAUUAGCUAGUUGGUAGGGUAAAAGCCUACCAAGGCGACGAUCCAUAGCUGGUCUGAGAGGAUGAUCAGCCACACUGGGACUGAGACACGGCCCAGACUCCUACGGGAGGCAGCAGUGGGGAAUAUUGGACAAUGGGCGAAAGCCUGAUCCAGCAAUGCCGCGUGAGUGAUGAAGGCCUUAGGGUUGUAAAGCUCUUUUACCCGGGAUGAUAAUGACAGUACCGGGAGAAUAAGCUCCGGCUAACUCCGUG